rnacentral:rRNA from 1 species
CUACGGGACGCAGCAGUAGGGAAUCUUCCACAAUGGGCGAAAGCCUGAUGGAGCGACGCCGCGUGAGGGAUGAAGGUCUUCGGAUCGUAAACCUCUGUCAGCAGGGAAGAACGGUCACUGUGCUAAUCAGCAGUGAAUUGACGGUACCUGCAAAGGAAGCACCGGCUAACUCCGUGCCAGCAGCCGCGGUAAUACGGAGGGUGCGAGCGUUAAUCGGAAUUACUGGGCGUAAAGCGCUCGUAGGCGGUAUGUCAAGUCAAGGGUGAAAUCCCCGCGCUCAACGUGGGAACUGCCUUUGAAACUGG